rnacentral:rRNA from 1 species
GAUGAACGCUGGCGGCGUGCCUAAUACAUGCAAGUCGAGCGAACAGACGAGGAGUUUGCUCCUCAGACGUUAGCGGCGGACGGGUGAGUAACACGUGGAUAAUCUACCUAUAAGACUGGGAUAACUUCGGGAAACCGGAGCUAAUACCGGAUAACAUAUUGAACCGCAUGGUUCAAUAGUGAAAGACGGUUUUGCUGUCACUUAUAGAUGGAUCCGCGCCGCAUUAGCUAGUUGGUAAGGUAACGGCUUACCAAGGCAACGAUGCGUAGCCGACCUGAGAGGGUGAUCGGCCACACUGGAACUGAGACACAGUCCAGACUCCAACGGGAGGCAGCAGUAGGGAGUCUUCCGGAAUGGGCGAAAGCCUGACGGAGCAACGCCGCGUGAGUGAUGAAGGUCUUCGGAUCGUAGAACUCUGUUAUUAGGGAAGAACAAAUGUGUAAGUAACUAUGCACGUCUUGACGGUACCUAAUCAGAAAGCCACGGCUAACUACGUG